rnacentral:rRNA from 1 species
UACGGAGGGUGCAAGCGUUAAUCGGAAUUACUGGGCGUAAAGCGUGCGCAGGCGGUUUGUUAAGUCUGUUGUGAAAUCCCUGAGCUCAACUUGGGAAUUGCAAUGGAUACUGGCAGGCUCGAGUAUGGUAGAGGAAGGUGGAAUUCCCGGUGUAGCAGUGAAAUGCGUAGAGAUCGGGAGGAACACCAGUGGCGAAGGCGGCCUUCUGGACCAAUACUGACGCUCAUGCACGAAAGCGUGGGGAGCAAACAGG